rnacentral:lncRNA from 1 species
UUGUAUUUCUGGUUGACUCUUAUUUAUGAUUUAGGUUUAGAUAUUUUGCCCGAUUUGAUGGUUGAUGGCAGCUUGGAUAACAUUCCACCCAUGGCUUAUCUCUUCCUUUGUGCAUAAAACGACUGCAGUGUUGUUUGCAGAGUUUAUUUACAUCCAUGUUCACCUUUAGUCUUUGUGUUUGUGUUCUCUUACUUUAUGUUCUGCUUACUUCUCUGACUUUCCUUGUGAAUAUGUGUUCUGUUCCUUUCAUUAUUAUUGAUAUGAGUAUAUAAUGCUUUAAAAUCUUCAGAAACUUCUAUAGUUACAGAUUCUCAUGUUUUCUUUUAAUAUCAUCAGAAUCACCAGUGUUAAGUUUUCAUCAAAUUCUAAACUAAAUCAUGGAGAACUGGGAAGAUGGCUUGGUGAUUGAAAACACUUGCUACUACAUUUCCUGAGGUUUGGAGUUUGGAUCCCAGCAAUAACUGUUCGAGAACCCUGCUAUUAAGCGAUCUCUGGAAAUCCUUCCAUCAUACUCACAGCCCUCCAAACCCUGCUCAUCACUUCUGCUCCCUUUGUCCUCGAGGACCCGUGGCCAGUGACCCUUGAGGAGAAGGGAGAACCCCAAACCACAGUGGGAUGCUAAGAACCACCUGUAACUCCAGCUCCAGUUAAUCCAAUACCUGGCCUCCAUGGGCACAUGGAUGGUACACAUACAUCUCAAUUCCAGUCCUGCUCUAUAUGACUAAGAGUCUGCAAGUCAUUUGUUUCAAGAAAUGAAGAGUAACUUCACCAGCCCACGCAUGCUAUGCUCUGCCAUGAUUGCUCAGUGGGUAUGCAAGAGAGGAAAAGGGACUUUCUUGUCUGUAGGAAGUGUUUCUUCAAAGACAGUGUUCAGGGACACUGGCUUCUGCAACAG